GCAUGGGUUUGGAUUUAUGGCGGGCCGUUGCCCUGGGCCUCUCACGGUCACAUGCCAGAGCAAAUUGUGGUCCCAAAUCAUCUCCUGGCCUCUGUGCAAAGGUUGUUGGCACUAAGGUGGGUUGCACAGCA
ensembl:snoRNA